rnacentral:rRNA from 1 species
UACGGGGGGAGCAAGCGUUGUUCGGAUUUACUGGGCGUAAAGGGCGCGUAGGCGGUCGUGACAAGUCACUUGUGAAAUCUCCGGGCUUAACUCGGAACGGUCAAGUGAUACUGUCGGACUAGAGUACAGAAGGGGCAACUGGAAUUCUCGGUGUAGCGGUGAAAUGCGUAGAUAUCAGGAAGAACACCGGUGGCGAAGGCGCUCUGCUGGACCUUAACUGACACUGAGGGACGAAAGCUAGGGGAGCGAAUGGG